rnacentral:misc_RNA from 1 species
UCAAACUUGGUCAUUUAGAGGAAGUAAAAGUCGUAACAAGGUUUCCGUAGGUGAACCUGCGGAAGGAUCAUUAACAAAUCCCGUGUGUAUUCUGAUCCAUGUGUGAUGCAUGUGUUCAGGACACAUUUGUUCCAUGUGCAUGUCAUGUGCACAUUGAUACAUUUCUGUGAAUGUCUGAUUCGUUCUAUUUCAAUUUUCAAAUGACUUUUAACAAUGGAUCUCUAGGCUCUUGCAUCGAUGAAGAACGCAGC